CAUGCACUAGUGGGGUCCCUCGGCCUGGCCUGCAUGCUUUUGCAAUCCGGGACCCCUCAGUGGAUGUCGGACUGCCAGUUUCGGCCCGAUCCCCGCAGGCCAGGCUGAGGGACCCCACUGGUGCACA
rnacentral:pre_miRNA from 1 species